rnacentral:rRNA from 1 species
UACGUAGGGUGCAAGCGUUGUCCGGAAUUAUUGGGCGUAAAGAGCUCGUAGGCGGUGUGUCGCGUCGGCCGUGAAAACCUGCAGCUUAACUGUGGGCUUGCGGUCGAUACGGGCAUCACUGGAGUUCGGCAGGGGAGACUGGAAUUCCUGGUGUAGCGGUGGAAUGCGCAGAUAUCAGGAGGAACACCGGUGGCGAAGGCGGGUCUCUGGGCCGUUACUGACGCUGGAGGAAGCGAAAGCGUGGGGAGCGAACGG